CCUACGGGAGGCAGCAGUGAGGAAUAUUGGUCAAUGGGCGCUAGCCUGAACCAGCCAAGUCGCGUGAGGGAUGACUGCCCUAUGGGUUGUAAACCUCUUUUAUAUGGGAAUAAAGUGCAGUAUGUAUACUGCUUUGCAUGUACCUUAUGAAUAAGGAUCGGCUAACUCCGUGCCCGCCGCCGCGGUAAUACGGAGGAUUCGGGCGUUAUCCGGAUUUAUUGGGUUUAAAGGGAGCGUAGGCGGGUUGUUAAGUCAGUUGUGAAAGUUUGCGGCUCAACCGUAAAAUUGCCGUUGAUACUGGGAGCCUUGAGUACAGUAGAGGUAGGCGGAAUGCGUGGUGUAGCGGUGAAAUGCGUAGAUAUCACGCAGAACUCCGAUUGCGAAGGCAGCCUGCUGGACUGUAACUGACGCUGAUGCUCGAAAGUGUGGGUAUCAAACAGGAUUAGAUACCCGAGUAGUC
rnacentral:rRNA from 1 species